rnacentral:rRNA from 1 species
ACUAUCGUUAACUGAAUACAUAGGUUAACGAGGCGAACCGGGGGAACUGAAACAUCUAAGUACCCCGAGGAAAAGAAAUCAACCGAGAUUCCCCCAGUAGCGGCGAGCGAACGGGGAGCAGCCCAGAGUCUGAAUCAGCUUGUGUGUUAGUGGAACGGUCUGGAAAGUCCGACGGUACAGGGUGAUAGUCCCGUACACCAAAAUGCACAGGUUGUGAACUCGAAGAGUAGGGCGGGACACGUGGUAUCCUGUCUGAAUAUGGGGGGACCAUCCUCCAAGGCUAAAUACUCCUGACUGACCGAUAGUGAACCAGUACCGUGAGGGAAAGGCGAAAAGAACCCCGGCGAGGGGAGUGAAAAAGAACCUGAAACCGUGUACGUACAAGCAGUGGGAGCACCUUCGGGUGUGACUGCGUACCUUUUGUAUAAUGGGUCAGCGACUUAUAUUCUGUAGCAAGGUUAACCGUAUAGGGGAGCCGCAGGGAAACCGAGUCUUAACUGGGCGUUAAGUUGCAGGGUAUAGACCCGAAACCCGGUGAUCUAGCCAUGGGCAGGUUGAAGGUUGGGUAACACUAACUGGAGGACCGAACCGACUAAUGUUGAAAAAUUAGCGGAUGACUUGUGGCUGGGGGUGAAAGGCCAAUCAAACCGGGAGAUAGCUGGUUCUCCCCGAAAGCUAUUUAGGUAGCGCCUCGUGAAUUCAUCUUCGGGGGUAGAGCACUGUUUCGGCUAGGGGGUCAUCCCGACUUACCAACCCGAUGCAAACUACGAAUACCGAAGAAUGUUAUCACGGGAGACACACGGCGGGUGCUAACGUCCGUCGUGAAGAGGGAAACAACCCAGACCGCCAGCUAAGGUCCCAAAGUCAUGGUUAAGUGGGAAACGAUGUGGGAAGGCACAGACAGCCAGGAUGUUGGCUUAGAAGCAGCCAUCAUUUAAAGAAAGCGUAAUAGCUCACUGGUCGAGUCGGCCUGCGCGGAAGAUGUAACGGGGCUAAACCAUGCACCGAAGCUGCGGCAGCGACACUAUGUGUUGUUGGGUAGGGGAGCGUUCUGUAAGCCUGCGAAGGUGACCUGUGAGGGUUGCUGGAGGUAUCAGAAGUGCGAAUGCUGACAUAAGUAACGAUAAAGCGGGUGAAAAGCCCGCUCGCCGGAAGACCAAGGGUUCCUGUCCAACGUUAAUCGGGGCAGGGUGAGUCGACCCCUAAGGCGAGGCCGAAAGGCGUAGUCGAUGGGAAACAGGUUAAUAUUCCUGUACUUGGUGUUACUGCGAAGGGGGGACGGAGAAGGCUAUGUUAGCCGGGCGACGGUUGUCCCGGUUUAAGCAUGUAGGCUGGUUGUCCAGGCAAAUCCGGAUAAUCAAGGCUGAGGUGUGAUGACGAGGUACUACGGUGCUGAAGUAACAAAUGCCCUGCUUCCAGGAAAAGCCUCUAAGCAUCAGGUAACAUUAAAUCGUACCCCAAACCGACACAGGUGGUCAGGUAGAGAAUACCAAGGCGCUUGAGAGAACUCGGGUGAAGGAACUAGGCAAAAUGGUGCCGUAACUUCGGGAGAAGGCACGCUGGUGUGUAGGUGAAGUCCCUGCGGAUGGAGCUGAGACCAGUCGAAGAUACCAGCUGGCUGCAACUGUUUAUUAAAAACACAGCACUGUGCAAACACGAAAGUGGACGUAUACGGUGUGACGCCUGCCCGGUGCCGGAAGGUUAAUUGAUGGGGUUAUCCGUAAGGAGAAGCUCUUGAUCGAAGCCCCGGUAAACGGCGGCCGUAACUAUAACGGUCCUAAGGUAGCGAAAUUCCUUGUCGGGUAAGUUCCGACCUGCACGAAUGGCGUAAUGAUGGCCAGGCUGUCUCCACCCGAGACUCAGUGAAAUUGAACUCGCUGUGAAGAUGCAGUGUACCCGCGGCAAGACGGAAAGACCCCGUGAACCUUUACUAUAGCUUGACACUGAACAUUGAGCCUUGAUGUGUAGGAUAGGUGGGAGGCUUUGAAGCGUGGACGCCAGUCUGCGUGGAGCCAACCUUGAAAUACCACCCUUUAAUGUUUGAUGUUCUAACGUUGGCCCCUUACCGGGGUUGCGGACAGUGUCUGGUGGGUAGUUUGACUGGGGCGGUCUCCUCCCAAAGCGUAACGGAGGAGCACGAAGGUUAGCUAAUCCUGGUCGGACAUCAGGAGGUUAGUGCAAUGGCAUAAGCUAGCUUGACUGCGAGCGUGACGGCGCGAGCAGGUGCGAAAGCAGGUCAUAGUGAUCCGGUGGUUCUGAAUGGAAGGGCCAUCGCUCAACGGAUAAAAGGUACUCCGGGGAUAACAGGCUGAUACCGCCCAAGAGUUCAUAUCGACGGCGGUGUUUGGCACCUCGAUGUCGGCUCAUCACAUCCUGGGGCUGAAGUAGGUCCCAAGGGUAUGGCUGUUCGCCAUUUAAAGUGGUACGCGAGCUGGGUUUAGAACGUCGUGAGACAGUUCGGUCCCUAUCUGCCGUGGGCGCUGGAGAAUUGAGGGGGGCUGCUCCUAGUACGAGAGGACCGGAGUGGACGCAUCACUGGUGUUCGGGUUGUCAUGCCAAUGGCACUGCCCGGUAGCUAAAUGCGGAAGAGAUAAGUGCUGAAAGCAUCUAAGCACGAAACUUGCCCCGAGAUGAGUUCU